AUUAAUCAAUUAAUUAACUAAUUUAACGAUAAUUUAUUUUCAAAUAUUUGAAAAAAUAGAGGUUUGAAUUUGAUUCGAUAACUCACGGCCAAUAGAAAACGUUUCAUAUUUGUCCAACAUUUAGGCGCCAAAAUGCUACCUCCCCUCCACAGCUCCACUUCCGAUGGCGGCCAUAUUGCUUUUUUAGCGAAGUAGAAAUGGAAGACGCUCGUCAUCGCUCCUGCUUAUUUCCGAAAUAAAUCGAGACAUCUGUAUCAAAUUCUUCUUCUGAAACACAAAACACCUGUUUGAUUUUCGGAGUUAAAAAUUUCUAAUUCUACAGAAAAUAAAUUGGAGGAUGUCAAUAAUUUGUCGGAUUGUCAAAAUUUGCGAACUCAAAGUGAAGAAUGCUGGCGGAAGCAACAGAGUGGAAUUUAGGAUCCGGAAGAAACUCCCUAUCGAAAAAUUUCUUAAAUCACCGGGAGGAUGUUGUUAACCAAGGCUGUCAAAAAUUGAUAGAAAGCAAUCUUAAAUCGAGAUGUUGGGAUCAAACAUGCUGACAGUGUCUUCAGGACGAAAUUUAGGAUUUAAAAAAAAUUACUCUUGGAAAAAUUUCUCAAAUCACCGGGAGGAUGUUAUUAACCAAGCCUGUCAAAAAUUGAUGGAAAGCAAUCUUAAAUCGAGAUGUUGGGAUAAAACAUGCUGACAGUGUCUUCAGGACGAAAUUUAGGAUUUAAAAAAA